AUAGAACUUUUCAAUCUGAUGUCUUGUCCUAAUAAGGUCUUUUGCCAUUACUUUAACAGCUCCCUGCAAAGAUAUCACAGAAAAUCAAAUAUAUAUUCAACUCCUUUUUUUAAAUUUUAACAAAAACAAAUUAAAAAGAAGGGAUAACUAAAAAAUAUCAAGUAAGGCAAGUGAGAGGGGAAAGAACUUCAACAUUAAAUGAAUCAUCUCCAAUUAAAGCCUUCCAGACAAGAAAAAAAUUACAACAAAUCCAUUCACGAUCAAAUUUUAGCAUCACUUACCAACUAAUUGCAUAAUGUUGCAUUACAGUGAAAUUAUGAUCAGAAUAUCAUCCUGACUGAUUCAGUAAAAUAUCUAAACAAUUGAUUCAACAUUACAACCUGUGAAAUAUUAUAUUAACAAACUUUUACUUAAAGGUACAAUUUGGCUGAUACAAUGUUCUUGCUAAGCUCUCAAUCAUUAACUAUUAACAUUUACCCAAUGCAAAGUCACAUAUAAUAACUAACCAAAACAAGAAACAGCACGAAAUAGCUAGUCAGAAGUACAAAAAUUGUACAGUUCGUUAAUAUGGAAGUAUAAGAAAACAUUUGAAUGCUAGCUAGCACUAAGAAAAACAUAAUUGCAAGGAAGCAAUAUUCGCCAUGAGCUUAGACUCUGGGGAUAAUAAAUAGCUGACAAACAACCGUAGAAGGUUUCUUUAAUAAACAAGAAAUUAAUGAGCAAGGGAAAGGUAGUUCACCA
rnacentral:misc_RNA from 1 species